rnacentral:rRNA from 1 species
UACGAAGGGGGCUAGCGUUGUUCGGAAUUACUGGGCGUAAAGCGUGCGCAGGCGGCCAUCCAAGUCAGUGGUGAAGACCGGCAGCCUCAACUCCGGAACUGCCUUUGAUACUGGGGAUCUCGAGUCCGGAAGAGGUGAGUGGAACUCCGAGUGUAGAGGUGAAAUUCGUAGAUAUUGGGAAGAACACCGGUGGCGAAGGCGGCUCACUGGCUCAUAUCUGACGCUCAGGCGCGACAGCGUGGGGAUCAAACAGG